AUUGAACGCUGGCGGCAGGCCUAACACAUGCAAGUCGAGCGAGCGGCGGACGGGUGAGUAAUGUCUGGGAAACUGCCUGAUGGAGGGGGAUAACUACUGGAAACGGUAGCUAAUACCGCAUACCAUCAGAUGUGCCCAGAUGGGAUUAGCUAGUAGGUGGGGUAAUGGCUCACCUAGGCGACGAUCCCUAGCUGGUCUGAGAGGAUGACCCGCAACCCUGGAACUGAUACACGGUCCAUACUCCUACGGGAGGCAGCCGUGGGAAAUAUUGCACAAUGGGCGCAAGCCUGAUGCAUCCCUCCCGCGUGUGUGAAGAAGGCCUUCGGUUUGUAAAGCACUUUCAGCGGGGAGGCGUUACCCGCAGAAGAAGCACCGGCUAACUCCGUGCCAGCAGCCGCGGUAAUUC
rnacentral:rRNA from 1 species